rnacentral:tRNA from 1 species
UGGGGAGUCGUCUAGUGGUAGGACAGCGGACUCUGACUCCGUUUACAGGGGUUCGAAUCCUCUCUCCCCAGCCA